GCCGGGUGUGGUGGCUCACACCUGUAAUCCCAGCACUUUGGGAGGCUGAGAUGGGUGGAUCACCUGAGGUCAGGAGUUUGAGACCAGCCUGGCCAACAUGGUGAAACCCCGUUUCUA
rnacentral:SRP_RNA from 1 species